rnacentral:rRNA from 1 species
AUUGAACGCUGGCGGCAUGCCUUACACAUGCAAGUCGAACGGUAACAGGUCUUCGGAUGCUGACGAGUGGCGAACGGGUGAGUAAUACAUCGGAACGUGCCCGAUCGUGGGGGAUAACGGAGCGAAAGCUUUGCUAAUACCGCAUACGAUCUACGGAUGAAAGCAGGGGACCGCAAGGCCUUGCGCGGACGGAGCGGCCGAUGGCAGAUUAGGUAGUUGGUGGGAUAAAAGCUUACCAAGCCGACGAUCUGUAGCUGGUCUGAGAGGACGACCAGCCACACUGGGACGGAGACACGGCCCAGACUCCUACGGGAGGCAGCAGUGGGGAAUUUUGGACAAUGGGCGCAAGCCUGAUCCAGCCAUGCCGCGUGCAGGAUGAAGGCCUUCGGGUUGUAAACUGCUUUUGUACGGAACGAAAAGACUCUGGUUAAUACCUGGGGUCCAUGACGGUACCGUAAGAAUAAGCACCGGCUAACUACGUGCCAGCCGCCGCCGUAAAAC